rnacentral:rRNA from 1 species
CGCCCUUCCCAGUAAGUCAUAUGGCUNGUCUCAAAGAUUAAGCCAUGCAUGUCUAAGUAUAAAACAACUUUGUACUGUGAAACUGCGAAUGGGCUCAUUAAAUCAGUUAUAGUUUAUUUGAUGAUACCUUGCUACUUGGAUAACCGUGGUAAUUCUAGAGCUAAUACAUGCUGAGUACCCCGACUUCGGAAGGGGUGUAUUUAUUAGAUACAAAACCAAUGCCCUUCGGGGCUCAAUGGUGAUUCAUGAUAACUUUUCGAAUCGCACGGCCCUGCGCCGGCGAUGGUUCAAUCAAGUUUCUUCCCUAUCAACUUUCGAUGUUUGGGUAUUGGCCAAACAUGGUUGCAACGGGUGACGGAGGGUUAGGGCUCGACCCCGGAGAAGGAGCCUGAGAAACGGCCACUACAUCCAAGGAAGGCAGCAGGCGCGCAAAUUACCCAAUCCCCGACACGGGGAGGUAGUGACAAUAAAUACUGAUACGGGGCUCUUUUGGGUCUCGUAAUUGGAAUGAGUACAAUCUAAAUCCCUUAACGAGGAACAAUUGGAGGGCAAGUCUGGUG